ensembl:lncRNA
ACCGCCUGAGAAGAUGCUGGCCUGGGCCGUGGAGUUAAAGUGGCUGUCUCUUCCACGGAAACCUUCACUGAGGGUGUCUGUCAUUUCAGUGAAGAGCCGUCGAUAGGAGCUAAUUUUGUUUCCCUUUGGCCUGGUAAGCAACAUACUGAACUAAGAGGAGAGGUUCCUGUUGAGUGUAACAGAUCAGCUAGGCUGGGUUUGCACUGACAUGUUUCAGCUUUGUUCUGUUUCUUUUUUUAUUUUUUUUGACAGUUUCUCAGGGUAUAAGGGCUUGAGGAAACUCGGGAUAGCACAGGCUGCAUGUCUGUGAGUCACUCGGUGUGCGAAAUGUUUGCGCAGUCAUCCCAGGACUUUCCACCCAAUCUUUGAGCUGGGUUAUGGAACAGAAGCAGAUGAGUAAGUUGCUUAUGGAGGCUGCUGUGCCUGUCUGCUGUAGACGUGUCUCCUGUUUCUCCAUGAUGACUGACCUGUUCAUGUGGGGUCUGGAAACCCGGCCAGGCCUCUGCAGCUUGGGACCUGCUCUGAGCAGGUGUUUGGGACAGGUGAAGUUAAAUGAUUGCUUAUUUACUAAUUGCAAACAUGCUGACAGGCCAGAAUAUAUGGAUGGCUGGGGAGUUAUGGCAGAAUUCAUACAGUCUCUCAUCUCUUUCUUCCUUAUGCCCCUCGCCUGCUUCCUUUAGCCACAGGCUCAGUGAUUUCAGGUGCAUCCAGAGAGAUGCAGUUUCUGGCCAGAGACUGCCACGAGUCUGAACGUUCCCCAUCUGCAUGGGCCUAACUCCCUACUGGCACCUCUGUCUUGCUGCCUGCCUGCCAAUAAUGCAUGGCUUAAAUGGCAUGCCACCAUGUGGGAGCUUUCCUUGAGCUCAUUGCACAAGGUGGUAAUAAAUAAUUGGAGAUUUUAUCCUUGCUUGUGCUUAAUUGGUACCUCGACCCACAAGCCUCAGCUAUUGCCUGGGGCAUGAGGGUUCACGAGGGGAAAGGGCUGAGUGGAUCCUGCCAAUGCCCUGCUGUUCCUGCCGAUGGUCCUCCCAGACGGCCCACCCUGGGUGCCCUCCCAGACGGAGGGGCUGGGAGGAACUGGUGAUGGCCAGCGCAUCUGCCUCGCUGUUAGAGGACCAGCAGGCAGCUAAGAGGGGCUGUGUCCGCAACGUAACGCAGCAGGACGUGAAAAAUCGAGUUUGUACCAUCUCUUCUAGAGCCGAGAACAAGAGAAUCAGCCAUUCUGCCGGUGCUCCCCUCAGCCUUGGGAGCGUGCCCGUGAGCCAGAAAUGCCCUGCCUUCUCCCAUCAGAGUCCCCCCGGAUGAUUCUGGUGCUGAACCCCGCUGCAAACUAAACAGGAGUCUCACUAGCUUGGGACAGACAGCUUCUCUGACGUGCUUCUCCAUGACUUGGUGCAAACGCAAGAAGAUGCCAUAUGAUAGGAAAGAGGACGGGUACUUAGAAAUUAGAGGUUGUUAGGAGAAGUGCUUGAAUUGCUUGUGGAUCAUUUGCUUCUACUGUGGCAGGUGAAAUCUAAAGCGGGUCUGGGAUUGCACUGUACAAGGUGUAAAGCUGGGUGCCACGGGAGGUCGGCGCUGGCACGGUGAAGUUGUCAGAGCAGUGGCUGGGCUCUGGGUGCUGCGCGGUGGCAGCAGGGAGGGGAGCAGAGGCUGGCACUUGUCCCCGCCUGCUGCUGCCCGUCUGGUGCAAGGCUCAAGCAGAAGCUGCUUCAGCUCUGUUUCUGUUUGGCAAAUCCCUUGUU